UCGGGGCGUAGCGCAGCCCGGUAGCGCGCUUCGUUCGGGACGAAGAGGUCGCCGGUUCAAAUCCGGCCGCCCCGACCC
rnacentral:tRNA from 1 species